UACGUAGGGUGCAAGCGUUGUCCGGAAUUAUUGGGCGUAAAGAGCUCGUAGGCGGCCUGUUGCGUCCGCUGUGAAAUCCCGGGGCUCAACCCCGGGCGUGCAGUGGAUACGGGCUGGCUGGAGGCAGGCAGGGGAGAGCGGAAUUCCUGGUGUAGCGGUGAAAUGCGCAGAUAUCAGGAGGAACACCGGUGGCGAAGGCGGUUCUCUGGGCCUGUACUGACGCUGAGGAGCGAAAGCGUGGGGAGCGAACAGG
rnacentral:rRNA from 1 species